CCUACGGGAGGCAGCAGUAGGGAAUCUUCCGCAAUGGACGAAAGUCUGACGGAGCAACGCCGCGUGAGUGAUGAAGGCUUUCGGGUCGUAAAACUCUGUUGUUAGGGAAGAACAAGUACAAGAGUAACUGCUUGUACCUUGACGGUACCUAACCAGAAAGCCACGGCUAACUACGUGCCAGCAGCCGCGGUAAU
rnacentral:rRNA from 2 species